CCGCCGGGGGACUACUGAACUUCAUGCCUGAGAGUGAUGCAGUCUGAGUCUGAAUAUAAAAUCAGUCAAAACUUUCAACAAUGGAUCUCUUGGUUCCGGCAUCGAUGAAGAACGCAGCGAACUGCGAUAAGUAAUGUGAAUUGCAGAAUUCAGUGAAUCAUCGAGUCUUUGAACGCACAUUGCGCCCCCUGGCAUUCCGGGGGGCAUGCCUGUCCGAGCGUCAUUGCUGCCCAUCAAGCCCGGCUUGUGUGUUGGGUCGUCGUCCCCCCCGGGGGACGGGCCCGAAAGGCAGCGGCGGCACCGUGUCCGGUCCUCGAGCGUAUGGGGCUUUGUCACCCGCUCGAUUUAGGGCCGGCCGGGCGCCAGCCGACGUCCAACCAUUGUCUUCAGGUGACCUCGGAUCAGUAGCUGC
rnacentral:rRNA from 1 species